rnacentral:siRNA from 1 species
GGGUGUUGGUCGAUUAAGACAGC